UGCGUCUCGGCCUCGUCCAGA
rnacentral:miRNA from 1 species